rnacentral:rRNA from 1 species
GCUAGCGUUGCUCGGAAUUACUGGGCGUAAAGCGCACGUAGGCGGCUUUCUAAGUCGGGGGUGAAAUCCUGGAGCUCAACUCCAGAACUGCCUUCGAUACUGGAAAGCUCGAGUCCGGAAGAGGAGAGUGGAAUUCCUGGUGUAGCGGUGAAAUGCGCAGAUAUCAGGAAGAACACCUAUGGCGAAGGCAGCUCUCUGGGACGGUACUGACGCUGAGACGCGAAAGCGUGGGGAGCGAACAGG